rnacentral:rRNA from 1 species
GGCGUCAGGACGAACGCUGGCGGCGUGCCUAAUACAUGCAAGUCGAACGGCUUUUCUAUGGAAGCUUGCUUCCACUGAGAAGAUAGUGGCGAACGGGUGAGUAACACGUGGGUAACCUGCCCAUAAGAGGGGGAUAACAUCCGGAAACGGGUGCUAAUACCGCAUAGUUUUCUUGAUCGCAUGAUCGGGAAAGGAAAGACGGCCUUUGUGCUGUCGCUUAUGGAUGGACCCGCGGCGUAUUAGUUAGUUGGUGAGGUAACGGCUCACCAAGACGAUGAUACGUAGCCGACCUGAGAGGGUGAUCGGCCACAUUGGGACUGAGACACGGCCCAAACUCCUACGGGAGGCAGCAGUAGGGAAUCUUCCGCAAUGGACGAAAGUCUGACGGAGCAACGCCGCGUGAGUGAAGAAAAGGGUUUUCGGAUCGUAAAACUCUGUUGUCAGAGAAGAACAAGUUGGAGAGUAACUGCUCCAGCCUUGACGGUAUCUGACCAGAAAGCCACGGCUAACUACGUGCCAGCAGCCGC